rnacentral:rRNA from 1 species
UACGGAGGAUGCGAGCGUUAUCCGGAUUUAUUGGGUUUAAAGGGUGCGUAGGCGGGAUGCCAAGUCAGCGGUAAAAAUGCGGUGCUCAACGCCGUCGAGCCGUUGAAACUGGCGUUCUUGAGUGGGCGAGAAGUAUGCGGAAUGCGUGGUGUAGCGGUGAAAUGCAUAGAUAUCACGCAGAACUCCGAUUGCGAAGGCAGCAUACCCGCGCCCUACUGACGCUGAGGCACGAAAGCGUGGGUAUCGAACAGG